rnacentral:rRNA from 1 species
GUGGUAUGAGAUGGACCCGCGUCUGAUUAGCUAGUUGGUGAGGUAACGGCCCACCAAGGCGACGAUCAGUAGCCGGCCUGAGAGGGCGACCGGCCACAUUGGGACUGAGACACGGCCCAAACUCCUACGGGAGGCAGCAGUGGGGAAUAUUGCACAAUGGGGGAAACCCUGAUGCAGCGACGCCGCGUGAGUGAAGAAGUAUUUCGGUAUGUAAAGCUCUAUCAGCAGGGAAGAAGAAAGACGGUACCUGACUAAGAAGCCCCGGCUAACUACGUGCCAGCAGCCGCGGUAAUACGUAGGGGGCAAGCGUUAUCCGGAUUUACUGGGUGUAAAGGGAGCGUAGACGGCUGUGCAAGUCUGAAGUGAAAGCCCAGGGCUCAACCCUGGGACUGCUUUGGAAACUGUGGAGCUAGAGUGCUGGAGAGGUAAGUGGAAUUCCUAGUGUAGCGGUGAAAUGCGUAGAUAUUAGGAGGAACACCAGUGGCGAAGGCGGCUUACUGGACAGUAACUGACGUUGAGGCUCGAAAGCGUGGGGAGCAAACAGGAUUAGAUACCCUGGUAGUCCACGCGGUAAACGAUGAAUACUAGGUGUUGGAGAGCAAAGCUUUUCG